rnacentral:rRNA from 1 species
AGCAGCCGCGGUAAUUCCAGCUCCAAUAGCGUAUAUUAAAGUUGCUGCAGUUAAAAAGCUCGUAGUUGAAUUUCGGGAUCAAUAUGUUGGUCGUGCCUCGGUACGUACUAGCUUAUUGGUUUCUCCCUUCUGACGAACCAUGAUGUCAUUUAUUUGGUGUUAUGGGAAAUCAGGACUGUUACUUUGAAAAAAUUAGAGUGUUUAAAGCAGGCUCACGCUUGAAUACAUUAGUAUGGAAUAAUGAAAUAGGACGUUUGAUUCUAUUUUGUUGGUUUCUAGGAUCGACGUAAUGAUUAAUAGGGAUAGUUGGGGGCAUUAGUAUUCAAUUGUCAGAGGUGAAAUUCUUGGAUUUAUUGAAGACUAACUACUGCGAAAGCAUUUGCCAAGGAUGUUUUCAUUAAUCAAGAACGAAAGUUAGGGGAUCGAAGACGAUCAGAUACCGUCGUAGUCUUAACCAUAAACUAUGCCGACUAGGGAUCGGAUGAUGUUAAUUUUUUAAUGUACU